AGGAUGCUUUUGGUGAGGUGCCUUCCGAGUUCCCUGGAACGGGACGCCAUAGAGGGUGAGAGCCCCGUACGGUUGGAUACCAAACCCUCUGUAUAGCUCCUUCAACGAGUCGAGUAGUUUGGGAAUGCUGCUCUAAAUGGGAGGUAUAUCUCUUCUAAAGCUAAAUAUAGGCUAGAGACCGAUAGCGCACAAGUAGAGUGAUCGAAAGAUGAAAAGCACUUUGAAAAGAGAGUUAAACAGCACGUGAAAUUGUUGAAAGGGAAGCGCCUAUGACCAGACUUGUUUCUGGCAGUUUCGUUAGCCUUCGGGCUGAUUUACUCUGUCCAGUACAGGCCAGCAUCAGUUUGUUGUCGGGGAGAAAGGCUCUGGGAACGUAGCUCCCCCCUUCUGGGGGGAGUGUUAUAGCCCUCUGCAUAAUACCCUUCGGCAGACUGAGGACCGCGCUUCGGCAAGGAUGCUGGCGUAAUGGCACAGAGGCCCGUCUUGAAACACGGACCAAGGAGUCAACCUUAUGUGCGAGUGUUUGGGUGUAAAACCCCAGCGCGUAAUGAAAGUGAACGUAGGUGAGAGCUUCGGCGCAUCAUCGACCGAUUCUGAUGUUUUCGGAUGGAUUUGAGUAAGAGCACACAGGGUUGGACCCGAAAGAAGGUGAACUAUGCUUGUAUAGGGUGAAGCCAGAGGAAACUCUGGUGGAGGCUCGCAGCGGUUCUGACGUGCAAAUCGAUCGUCAAAUAUGAGCAUGGGGGCGAAAGACUAAUCGAACCUUCUAGUAGCUGGUUCCAGCCGAAGUUUCCCUCAGGAUAGCAGUGUUGAAUUUUCUUCAGUUUUAUGAGGUAAAGCGAAUGAUUAGGGACUCGGGGGCGCUAUAUUGCCU
rnacentral:rRNA from 1 species